rnacentral:misc_RNA from 1 species
UCACCCCUCAAGCCCGGCUUGUUGUUGGACGUCGGCGGCGGCCUUUAGUGGCGUACCGCCCGUCUCAAAGAUAAUGACGGCGUCUGUGAGGAUACCUGUACACUGAGCUUUCGGGCACGUACUAGGCUAACACUCGCAGACCCGGUCUUUAGGGCUCGCUUCGGCGGCCCAACUUUUCUAA